ensembl:rRNA 5S_rRNA 5S ribosomal RNA
GUCUACAGCCAUAUCACCCUGAACGCACCCAAUCUCGUUGAUCACACAAGCUAAGCAGGGUCGGGCCUGGUUAGUACUUGCCAGGAGAACGGGAGUUAAAAGCAAAACCUAACCAGUUCAGGCAGCUGAGGAGU